CCCUUAGACGUUCUGGGCCGCACGCGCGCUACACUGACCAGUGCAACAAGCAUCCGUCCUUGGCCGACAGGCCUGGGCAAUCUUUGAACAUCGAUCGUGAUCGGGAUAGAUUCUUGUAAUUUUUGAUCUUAAACGAGGAAUUCCUAGUAAACGCAAGUCAUCAGCUUGCAUUGAUUACGUCCCUGCCCUUUGUACACACCGCCCGUCGCACCUACCGAUUGAAUGGUCCGGUGAAAUCUCCGGACUGGCGUGAGUCGGAGCAAUCUGACAAACACCGGAAAGUUGAUUAAACCUUACCAUUUAGAGGAAGGUGAAGUCGUANCA
rnacentral:rRNA from 1 species